CAAAAAUGAUAAAAGCUAUCAUUUUUUUUCCAUUCUUUCUUCUUCAACCGUGGGAAAGAACUGAAAAUGGCAGCCAUGGAUGAGCUCCAUUCAGCCAAGCUUCUAUGGCUUAUAUAGAUGAUGAAAAUUGAGACUUGGACCUAGAACGGAAAGAAAUCGAUUUAUGGACGAGUAUGUCCUUUUCACAUUUGUGGUAUCGAGAGUUCCAGGUUAGCUCGGGUUGGAGGCCGUCAGAGAUAUUAUCACCCUAUCGAGUUAACGUUAUCGGAGUAAGUAAACUCAAGUGAUUCGAGUCUAUGGCAUGUAUAGGGUUUUAAUGUGAGUAUGUAAUAUUAUGAUUUAGCCAAAGGCAUUGGCUUGUUAUUAAGGUAGUAUUAGUCAUGUAAAUUGGCCUAUGUCGGCUAAUGACGUUAUGGGCCCAUAUGAUUAUUCUUAUGCAUUUAUGUUAUUAUUUCUUGUGAUGUGGCUUACAACAUGUAUGCCUAGAGAUUGAAUUGAGAUUCAUUGAUGAGCUAGUAACUAAUGCAGGAUUAAGUGAUUGGUAAAUAGUUAAUAA